GGGAAGAGCUCAAAUUUAUAAUCUGGCACCUUCGGUGUCCGAGUUGUAAUCUCUAGAAAUGUUUUCCGCGUUGGACCGCACACAAGUCUGUUGGAAUACAGCGGCAUAGUGGUGAGACCCCCGUAUAUGGUGCGGACGCCCAGCGCUUUGUGAUACAUUUUCGAAGAGUCGAGUUGUUUGGGAAUGCAGCUCAAAUUGGGUGGUAAAUUCCAUCUAAAGCUAAAUAUUGGCGAGAGACCGAUAGCGAACAAGUACCGUGAGGGAAAGAUGAAAAGCACUUUGGAAAGAGAGUUAACAGUACGUGAAAUUGUUGGAAGGGAAACGCUUGAAGUCAGACUUGCUUGCUGAGCAAUCGGUUUGCAGGCCAGCAUCAGUUUUCCGGGAUGGAUAAUGGUAGAGAGAAGGUAGCAGUUUCGGCUGUGUUAUAGCUCUCUGCUGGAUACAUCUUGGGGGACUGAGGAACGCAGUGUGCCUUUGGCGGGGGUUUCGACCUCUUCACACUUAGGAUGCUGGUGGAAUGGCUUUAAACGACCCGUCUUG
rnacentral:rRNA from 1 species